UACACUCCUGCGGGAGGCAGCAGUGGGGAAUAUUGGACAAUGGGCGCAAGCCUGAUCCAGCCAUGCCGCGUGAGUGAUGAAGGCCCUAGGGUUGUAAAGCUCUUUCACCGGUGAAGAUAAUGACGGUAACCGGAGAAGAAGCCCCGGCUAACUUCGUGCCAGCAGCCGCGGUAAUACGAAGGGGGCUAGCGUUGUUCGGAUUUACUGGGCGUAAAGCGCACGUAGGCGGACUAUUAAGUCAGGGGUGAAAUCCCGGGGCUCAACCCCGGAACUGCCUUUGAUACUGGUAGUCUUGAGUUCGAGAGAGGUCAGUGGAAUUCCGAGUGUAGAGGUGAAAUUCGUAGAUAUUCGGAGGAACACCAGUGGCGAAGGCGGCUCACUGGCUCGAUACUGACGCUGAGGUGCGAAAGCGUGGGGAGCAAACAGGAUUAGAAACCCCAGUAGUCCCA
rnacentral:rRNA from 1 species